rnacentral:rRNA from 1 species
UACGGAGGGUCCGAGCGUUAAUCGGAAUUACUGGGCGUAAAGCGCGCGUAGGCUGUUAUUUAAGUCGAAUGUGAAAUCCUCGGGCUCAACCUGGGAACUGCAUCCGAAACUAAAUAACUAGAGUAUGGGAGAGGUAAGUAGAAUUUCCGGUGUAGCGGUGAAAUGCGUAGAUAUCGGAAGGAAUACCAGUGGCGAAGGCGGCUUACUGGACCAAUACUGACGCUGAGGUGCGAAAGCGUGGGGAGCAAAC